rnacentral:rRNA from 1 species
UAGGGAAUCUUCGGCAAUGGACGAAAGUCUGACCGAGCAACGCCGCGGGAGGGAAGAAGGUUUGCGGAUCGGAAAACUCUGUUGUUAGAGAAGAACAAGGACGAUAGUAACUGAACGUCCCCUGACGGUAUAUAACAAGAAAGCCACGGCUAACUACGUGCCAGCAGCAGCGGUAAUACGUAGGAGGCAAGCGUUGUCCGGAUUUAUUGGGCGUAAAGCGAGCGCAGGCGGUCUGUCAAGUCGGAUGUGAAAUCCCCGGGCUCAACCUGGGAACUGCAUUCGAAACUGGCAGGCUAGAGUCUUGUAGAGGGGGGUAGAAUUCCAGGUGUAGCGGUGAAAUGCGUAGAGAUCUAGAGGAAUACCGGUGGCGAAGGCGGCCCCCUGGACAAAGACUGACGCUCAGGUGCGAAAGCGUGGGGAGCAAGCAGG